rnacentral:lncRNA from 1 species
GAUACAAGCUAGGAGUAUCAAGGAAUUAUUCCAAUCUCCGUUAUGGAAUAAAUGGACCUGUGGCGCUCUAGUGUCUCCGAUCUAAGAUCGGAAUACGAUCUAGACAUUUGAGACGAGAGCAAAGCGAUCAAAGAAUCGCGAAGAAGAGCACGCGGACAGGGUCGGCCCGGACAAGAGCUUGCGGCGAUGUGAUCCGGGGAGAGAAUGUGCGAGAUGCUACAGGGCGGACAGAAUCGAGAAGGAGGGAGGCGUGGACCGAUUCAGGAAGGUAGACGACCGGACAAGGACCGGAGAUCGGCGAGCGAUGAUCUGGACGGAGAUGGGCAACCGACGGCGGUUACUUGGAGGAUGGGUGAACGUCGGGUGUUGGGGGUGGAAGAGAUGGAUUAGGGAAAUUAUUUAAUUUUUAAUUGAUUGGAAUCAAAGUACAUAAAAGUGCCCUUUAUAGGGUAAUACAGUAGGGUGCAAAAUGUAAAAUUUACACUACUACUAAUUAAGUGUUUUUCACACUAUUACAACAUUUAUUUAAUUAAAAUAAAACUGAUUACUCAACUAACCCGGUUAACCAUUUUACUUCUCAUAAUCGGUAAUCCAUAUGGAUGGUCUCCUCUCUCGAGUAGAUUUCUUUCUUACUAGCUCGCCUGAAGAAUGCUCUCCACCGCCGGUUAAUAGCUCCUGAUUGGUCUUUUCCAUUAGCUCCACAGACUGUGACAAAUCCCUAACCAUUGCAUCUGUAUCAUGUUCACCUCCCCAAAGAUUCACCUUGUCCUCAAGGUGGAUAGAAGGAAAAAUUUCCAGCAGCUUGGCAUUAUCUUCCCACGAUGAAUCUUCCAGAAGUGAUCCAUUCCAUUGCACUAGUGAUUGAGGUACUUUCUUGCCCUGUUUAUAUAUGAUCCUGCAAUCCAGAAUUGAUAUAGGGUAUAAUAUGGGAUUGUUACUUACUGAAAUUAGUGGGUGUGCUUCUAAUUUUGUAGGUUCUGGACCAUGGAAUGUCUUGAGCUUAGAUAUGUGGAAGCAAUCAUGAAUUCUGCUCCCUUGAGGCAAUUCUAACUUGUAAGCAACCUUGCUUAUUUUUUCUUUAAUUUUAUAAGGCCCAAAAAUUUUUUGACACAAUUUGUUGUGCAGACGGAAUGCCACCGUGAUCUGUCGAUAUGGUUGAAGCUUAACUAGUACCAGGUCUCCCACUUCAAAUUCAAUUUCUUUCCUCUUUUUAUCUGCAUUUGCUUUCAUUCUGCUUUGGGCUUUGAACAGAUUUUUCUUCACAUUUUCUAUUGCUUCAUUUCUUGAUUGUAUUUCUCCCUCCACUGCCUCUAUAGUUGAUGAUUCAGUAGCAAAGUUUGGAAUUAAUGUAGCUUCUUUACCAUAUAGAGUUUGAAACGGAGUUUGACCCAAUGAUGCAUUAUAAUUUGUGUUGAACCACAAUUCCGCCCAAGGCAGUAAUUUGAGCCAGCCUUUGGGUUGUUCAUGAGCUAUAGCUCUCAGAUACAUCUCUAUACCUCUAUUGACCACUUCUGUUUGGCCAUCACUCUGUGGGUGGUAAGCAGAAGUGAAAUUUAGUUUUGUACCACUCAACCUAUUCAGUUCCUUCCAAAACCUGGAGACAAAGACUUUAUCCCUAUCUGAUACAAUGGAGUUGGGAUAACCAUGUAGUCUAAUAAUUUCAUUCACGAAAAAUUCAGCAACCAUAUUUGCAUUGUAAUUUGUAGAGAGAGCUCCCAAAUGGCAUGAUUUAGAUAAUCUAUCAACAACUACAAUUAUAACAGUUUUAUUUUGUACCUUGGGCAAACCUGUAAUGAAAUCCACGGAGAUGUCAUGCCAUACCGAUGGUGGGAUGGGUAAGGGCAUCAAUAACCCAUUACUCUUCUGAUUUGUAGUCUUUGUCUUCUGACAAAUUAUACAUUCCUUUACAUACACCCUUAUGUCUUUCAUCAUUUCUUGCCACCAAAAUUUUUUAGAGAUUCUGUGAAAUGUUCUUUCGACACCCGAAUGGCCACCAAUAUACCCAUCAUGGAAUUCUUUAAUAACCUUUAAAGUUAUUCCCGACUCUUGUAAUAAGAAUAUACUUCCCUUGAAAAAAAUCAAUCCAUCCCUGAAAUCAUACCCUUGUGCUUUUAGGUUCUCCUCUUGAAUUUUCAGAAUUACCUCUUUUAUUUUUUGUGAUUGAGAAUUGAAUCUUUUUACCUCCUCAAUAAGUGAAUUAAUAGGAACUGAGAAUGAGAGCAUAGAUCCCUUUACAUUUUCAGAUUUGUUGGAAUAUAGAACUUCCUCUUCCUCUGAUUCAUAGCUUCUGGAUAGGGCAUCAGCUACUUGGUUGAAUUUUCCUGGUUUAUAAAUGAUGGUAAAAUCAUACCCCAACAGUUUACAAAGGAACACCUGCUGCUCGGGAGUUUGUAUAACUUGGGUUAAUAAGUUUUUUAAACUCCUAUGGUCUAUUUUUAUAAUAAAAUAUCUACCAAGGAGAUAAUAUCUCCAUUUUGCCACAGAUUGAGUAAUAGCAUACAUCUCCUUGAUGUAGACUGAAGCUGCUGAGAGUCUACCACUGAUCUUGCUGCUGAAAAAGGAAAUAGGAUGUUUUUCUUGUAGUAGUACAGCCCCUAUCCCCGUAUUGCAUGCAUCUGUUUCCACUGUAAAUUCUUUAUUAAAAUCUGGAAAUUGAAGUAUAGGAGCUGAGGUCAUGGCAGAUUUCAGUAUUUCGAAGCUUUUAGUAGCUUCCUCAGACCAUUUGAAGGCAUCUUUCUUUAGUUAGUCAUGGGAGUGGCUAACUGAGCAUACCCUUGAAUAAACCUUCUAUAAUACCCACUCAAGCCCAAAAAUCCUCGUAGUUGUUUCAAGGUUCUUGGCACAGGCCAAUCCACUAUUGCUUGGAUUUUAGCUGGGUCUGGAUUUACCCCAUCUUGGCUGAUUAUGUGACCCAAGAAUCCCAUAGUAGGUUUCCCAAAUCAGCAUUUAGACUUCUUGGCAAGGAGUUGAUUCUUUUUCAGCACAUCAAAAAUAAUCUUCAAAUGCUCUAAAUGAUUCUGUAAAGAAGAACUAUAUACUAGAAUAUCGUCGAAGAAAAUAAUAACAAAUUUCCUCAAAUAUUGUUGAAAAACCUGAUUCAUUACUGCUUGAAAUGUGGCCGGGGCAUUUGUGAGGCCAAAGGGCAUCACCAAAAAUUCAUAAUGACCUUGAUGAGUCCUAAAGGCAGUUUUCCCAAUAUCUGAUGGAUUGAUUCUGAUCUGGUGGAAACCUGAUCUUAAAUCCAAUUUUGAAAAAAUCAUAGAUCCUCUUAAUUCCCCUAGUAGCUCGUCGACAGUGGGAAUUGGAAAUUUAUCUUUGAUAGUUAGAGCAUUGAGAGCUCUAUAAUCAACACAGAGUCUAUAUCCCCCGUCCUUUUUCUUUACUAGCAAGACAGGUGAUGAGUAAGGGCUAGUGCUAGGUUGGAUUGUGCCUUGUUGAAGUAAUUCCCUUACUAAUUUUUCAAUUUCUUCCUUUUGAAACUGGGGGUAUCUGUAUGGUCUGACAUUUACCGGGGCUGAAUUGGGCUCAAGAUGAAUGUAGUGGUCAUACUCUCUAAAAGGAGGAAGACCCUGAGGCUCUGUAAAAAUUUCUUCAUUUUCUUCCACAAUUUCAUUUAUUUCUGUUUUUUCAGAACUGAGCAUCAAACUGCUUGAGGUGUCUACUGCCUCAAAAUAACAUAAGAAUGCCUCUGAAGAUAUCUUAACUAAUGACUUCAGUUGCCCCGUAGUAGGAGGAUCAGUAUCCAGCCAUGAUAUGCCUUGCCACACCACUUGUUCUCCUUUCCAUUGAAAUUUCAUGACCAAGUCUUUAUAAUUAGAAAUAACAUCACCCAACUGUUUCAACCAUUGAGUACCUAUCACAAUAUUUGCCCCAGCCAUAGGUAAAAGGAACAGAUCAAGGAUUAUUAUGACUCCUUGUAUUUUUAUUUUCACACUCCUACAGACUUUAUCACAAACUAGCUUUUCUCCACUUCCCGUGGACACCCUGAAUGAAUUUAUAGCACAGAUAGCUAACUGUAAAUUUUUAGCCACAUCCUCCUGCAUAAAAUUGUGGGUAGAUCCAGUGUCAAUAAGCACACUGGCACUCUGACUUUUGAUAAACCCCUCUAAUCUGAUAGUUCUAAUACCAAUCUUCCCUUGUAGAGCUUGAAGACUAAUUUCAGAUUCUUCCUCGAUUUCCAGAAUUUUAAUCUCACCGUCAUCUUCUAUUUCUUCCUCAUUGGGCAAUUCCCAGAAUGUAUUAUCCUCAGCUGAAAAUCUGUAUAGUCUGCCUUUGCACUUGUGCCCUGGAUUAAAUUUUUCAUCGCAAUUAAAACAAAGACCCUUGGAGGUUCUUUCUUUUCUUUCUGCAUAUGUCAGCCUUUUAAAAUUUGGUGUAGCUGUAUUUCCAGAUUUGAUGUUAUUUGUGGAGUUUGAAAUGUUUGAUGUGAUUGUGCUGCCCAGAGAGUUGUUUCCAGCAUUUAAAGUAUUGUCACCACCUGUUUUUGUGAAAUAAGAUCUGUUCUGAUAUGGUUUAUAUCCUGCUUUAGAACUUGAAGCCCCCGUUCCUUGUUUUUCUAAGUGAACAGCCAAUUCCAUGGCUUCUUGUAGAUCCUCUAGCUUGGCUCUGACCACUUCCGUUUGAAUUUCAUCCUUCAAACCUGAUUCGAACAUUUCAAGUAAUAGCCAAUCUGGAAUUCCCACCACUUUAGAAGAAUAAUCUUCAAACCUUUCUACAAAAUCAGCCACUGUAGUAAUUUGAACUAGUUUGCUUAAUCUCCCACCUGGAAUAGUAUAAGUUGUAGGAUUAAAUUUUUUUAACAAAGAUCUCACGAAUGCAGGCCAUGUUGACAAGUAAUUGCUAGAUUCCAUCCAUAAGAACCAUUUUAGAGCCACACCCUGCAUAUUGAAUGAAGCUAUAAUUAAUUUCUAAUCUUCUGGUGUGUUAUGGAAAAUAAAGAAUCUCCUAGCCAUGAAUAUCCAUAGCUCUGGUUCGUUGCCGUCGAAUCGGGGCAUAUCAAAUUUGAUGUGUUUAGGUGGGAUGUAGUCGGCAUUUCCAUAUAUACUAACUGCAUAAGAUGGCCUUUCUGGAUCAAUAAUACACUACAAAAAACCAGCGCAGUUCUGGCGGCAUAUUCGUUGUUAAUUAUUUCAGAAUCACCGGUCUCUAUUUUUUUGCCAAUAAUUACCUCCAGUUGUUUUCCCAGCUGCAUAGAAUUGUGAUUAAUAAGGUUCCGAAGUUCCGUCAUCUCUCUAGUUUGAGAUAGUUGAAAUUCUUGCAGUCUCUUCAUAUUUGCCUCAAUCUCUUCCAUUGGGGCAGGUCUUGCCAUCUAGAAAUUCCUGAAAUUUAGAGUACAAAAAUAGAUGAAAGCACCAGUUGAUACAAGCUAGGAGUAUCAAGGAAUUAUUCCAAUAUCCGAUAUGGAAUAAAUGGACCUGUGGAGCUCUAGUGUCUCCGAUCUAAGAUCGGAAUACGAUCUAGACGAUGAGACAAAAAAAGCAGUGCGAUCUAAGAAUCGCGACGAAGAGCCCGCCGGACAGGAAACAGGACGGCAGAUCGGAGAACUCGCCGGACAGAGAUGUGUAGAGUUGGAGACGAGAGCUGGGUGAUCUAAAAAAUACGAUGAAGGACUUGCCGGGCAGGCGCANNNNNNNNNNNNNNNNNNNNNNNNNNNNNNNNNNNNNNNNNNNNNNNNNNNNNNNNNNNNNNNNNNNNNNNNNNNNNNNNNNNNNNNNNNNNNNNNNNNNUACGUCCACGUCAGUCCCCAGCAUGGUGAGUUCUUUGUCCUUGCAUUUGCCUGUGCCAUGACCUGUUCUAAAGAUAGACCUACACACGUAAUCAAACUGGGUUUUGCAUUUAAAAUAUAUGCCCAUAGAUCCUUGGAGAACUUGCACUUGAAGAAGACAUGGUCUUGUGAUUCCCAUGUCCCCCCACAUAAUAUGCAGUCUGUGUUCCCCCCUCCCAUUCUACCCGCCCAGUCAGCUCUCAUGGAUAUUUUGGACCACCUGGCCCUCCAGAGUGUUAUGCUGAAUUUCCUUACACUAGUCGUCCAAACCCCCUCCCCGUAUUGAUCUAUUGGCUCAGUAUUCCUGACGGAGUCCCAAGCGUUCUUGAAAGUCAGGGAAGUCCCUUUUCCUACCCAGGUGUAAUUAUAAUCAGCAUCACACUUUAGGUUCCCCUCUAUCACAUCCUUCUUGUCAAUGAUUUCAGCCCAUAGGGCCGAAUCCGAGUUUGGGUGCUUCUCUAUAUCUCUGAGAGCGCGUCCACCCACGUAUCUCCCCCUCAUCCAUGAUGCCCAGAUCGAGUCAUCUGCCGACCAUAUUCUACCCAACCUUAUCAUCCUCGCCGCUUCAGCGGACUCUCUGAAGCACCUCAGUCCCAUUCCACCCUCCUUUUUGGGGAGGGUCAUCUGGUUUCAUCGGACAUCUUGCUUCCCACUCCACAUAUAUCUGUAGGAGAUGGAUCUCAAUUCUUCAAGGGUAUCCGCCGGGAGUCUGCUCGACAUAUUCCAGAAAUUGAAUAUGCCCAUUAUACCCCAGUGAUACAGCUGAACCCUGCCCGCAUGAGACAACAACCUUGUUUUCCACCCCUCUACCAUCUUAUUGACUCUUUCAAUUAGGGGGGGCGCAGUCCUUUGUGUAGAGGAUCCUAGGUGAUAGAGGCAGCCCAAGAUACGUUAUGUUGGGUAAUGUUUUUCACACUAUUACAACAUUUAUUUAAUUAAAAUAAAACUGAUUACUCAACUAACCCGGUUAACCAUUUUACUUCUCAUAAUCGGUAAUCCAUAUGGAUGGUCUCCUCUCUCGAGUAGAUUUCUUUCUUACUAGCUUGCCUGAAGAAUGCUCUCCUCCGCCGGUUAAUAGCUCCUGAUUGGUCUUUUCCAUUAGCUCCACAGACUGUGACAAAUCCCUAACCAUUGCAUCUGUAUCAUGUUCACCUCCCCAAAGAUUCACCUUGUCCUCAAGGUGGAUAGAAGGAAAAAUUUCCAGCAGCUUGGCAUUAUCUUCCCACGAUGAAUCUUCCAGAAGUGAUCCAUUCCAUUGCAUUAGUGAUUGAGGUACUUUCUUGCCCUGUUUAUAUAUGAUCCUGCAAUCCAGAAUUGAUAUAGGGUAUAAUAUGGGAUUGUUACUUACUGAAAUUAGUGGGUGUGCUUCUAAUUUUGCAGGUUCUAGACCAUGGAAUGCCUUGAGCUUAGAUAUGUGGAAGCAAUCAUGAAUUCUGCUCCCUUGAGGCAAUUCUAACUUGUAAGCAACCUUGCUUAUUUUUUCUUUAAUUUUAUAAGGCCCAAAAAUUUUUUGACACAAUUUGUUGUGCAGACGGAAUGCCACCGUGAUCUGUCGAUAUGGUUGAAGCUUAACUAGUACCAGGUCUCCCACUUCAAAUUCAAUUUCUUUCCUCUUUUUAUCUGCAUUUGCUUUCAUUCUGCUUUGGGCUUUGAACAGAUUUUUCUUCACAUUUUCUAUUGCUUCAUUCCUUGAUUGUAUUUCUCCCUCCACUGCCUCUAUAGUUGAUGAUUCAGUAGCAAUGUUUGGAAUUAAUGUAGCUUCUUUACCAUAUAGAGUUUGAAACGGAGUUUGACCCAAUGAUGCAUUAUAAUUUGUGUUGAACCACAAUUCCGCCCAAGGCAGUAAUUUGAGCCAGCCUUUGGGUUGUUCAUGAGCUAUAGCUCUCAGAUACAUCUCUAUACCUCUAUUGACCACUUCUGUUUGGCCAUCGCUCUGUGGGUGGUAAGCAGAAGUGAAAUUUAGUUUUGUACCACUCAACCUAUUCAGUUCCUUCCAAAACCUGGAGACAAAGACUUUAUCCCUAUCUGAUACAAUGGAGUUGGGAUAACCAUGUAGUCUAAUAAUUUCAUUCACGAAAAAUUCAGCAACCAUAUUUGCAUUGUAAUUUGUAGAGAGAGCUCCCAAAUGGCAUGAUUUAGAUAAUCUAUCAACAACUACAAUUAUAACAGUUUUAUUUUGUACCUUGGGCAAACCUGUAAUGAAAUCCACAGAGAUGUCAUGCCAUACCGAUGGUGGGAUGGGUAAGGGAUCAAUAACCCAUUACUCUUCUGAUUUGUAGUCUUUGUCUUCUGACAAAUUAUACAUUCCUUUACAUACACCCUUAUGUCUUUCAUCAUUCCUUGCCACCAAAAAUUUUUAGAGAUUCUGUGAAAUGUUCUUUCGACACCCGAAUGGCCACCAAUAUACCCAUCAUGGAAUUCUUUAAUAACCUUUAAAGUUAUUCCCGACUCUUGUAAUAAGAAUAUACUUCCCUUGAAAAAAAUCAAUCCAUCCCUGAAAUCAUACCCUUGUGCUUUUAGGUUCUCCUCUUGAAUUUUCAGAAUUACCUCUUUUAUUUUUUGUGAUAGAGAAUUGAAUCUUUUUACCUCCUCAAUAAGUGAAUUAAUAGGAACUGAGAAUGAGAGCAUAGAUCCCUUUACAUUUUCAGAUCUGUUGGAAUAUAGAACUUCCUCUUCCUCUGAUUCAUAGCUUCUGGAUAGGGCAUCAGCUACUUGGUUGAAUUUUCCUGGUUUAUAAAUGAUGGUAAAAUCAUACCCCAACAGUUUACAAAGGAACACCUGCUGCUCGGGAGUUUGUAUAACUUGGGUUAAGAAGUUUUUUAAACUCCUAUGGUCUGUUUUUAUAAUAAAAUAUCUACCAAGGAGAUAAUGUCUCCAUUUUGCCACAGAUUGAGUAAUAGCAUACAUCUCCUUGAUGUAGACUGAAGCUGCUGAGAGUCUACCACUGAUCUUGCUGCUGAAAAAGGAAAUAGGAUGUUUUUCUUGUAGUAGUACAGCCCCUAUCCCCGUAUUGCAUGCAUCUGUUUCCACUGUAAAUUCUUUAUUAAAAUCUGGAAAUUGAAGUAUAGGAGCUGAGGUCAUGGCAGAUUUCAGUAUUUCGAAGCUUUUAGUAGCUUCCUCAGACCAUUUGAAGGCAUCUUUCUUUAGUAAGUUAGUCAUGGGAGUGGCUAACUGAGCAUACCCUUGAAUAAACCUUCUAUAAUACCCACUCAAGCCCAAAAAUCCUCGUAGUUGUUUCAAGGUUCUUGGCACAGGCCAAUCCACUAUUGCUUGGAUUUUAGCUGGGUCUGGAUUUACCCCAUCUUGGCUGAUUAUGUGACCCAAGAAUCCCAUAGUAGGUUUCCCAAAUGAGCAUUUAGACUUCUUGGCAAGGAGUUGAUUCUUUUUCAGCACUUCAAAAAUAAUCUUCAAAUGCUCUAAAUGAUUCUGUACAGAAGAACUAUAUACUAGAAUAUCGUCAAAGAAAAUAAUAACAAAUUUCCUCAAAUAUUGUUGAAAAACCCGAUUCAUUACUGCUUGAAAUGUGGCCGGGGCAUUUGUGAGGCCAAAGGGCAUCACCAAAAAUUCAUAAUGACCUUGAUGAGUCCUAAAGGCAGUUUUCCCAAUAUCUGAUGGAUUGAUUCUGAUCUGGUGGAAACCUGAUCUUAAAUCCAAUUUUGAAAAAAUCAUAGAUCCUCUUAAUUCCCCUAGUAGCUCGUCGACAGUGGGAAUUGGAAAUUUAUCUUUGAUAGUUAGAGCAUUGAGAGCUCUAUAAUCAACACAGAGUCUAUAUCCCCCGUCCUUUUUCUUUACUAGUAAGACAGGUGAUGAGUAAGGGCUAGUGCUAGGUUGGAUUGUGCCUUGUUGAAGUAAUUCCCUUACUAAUUUUUCAAUUUCUUCCUUUUGAAACUGGGGGUAUCUGUAUGGUCUGACAUUUACCGGGGCUGAAUUGGGCUCAAGAUGAAUGUAGUGGUCAUACUCUCUAAAAGGAGGAAGACCCUGAGGCUCUGUAAAAAUUUCUUCAAUUUCUUCCACAAUUUCAUUUAUUUCUGUUUUUUCAGAACUGAGCAUCAAACUGCUUGAGGUGUCUACUGCCUCAGAAUAACAUAAAAAUGCCUCUGCAGAUAUCUUAACUAAUGACUUCAGUUGCCCCAUAGUAGGAGGAUCAGUAUCCAGCCAUGAUAUGCCUUGCCACACCACUUGUUCUCCUUUCCAUUGAAAUUUCAUGACCAAGUCUUUAUAAUUAGAAAUAACAUCACCCAACUGUUUCAACCAUUGAGUACCUAUCACAAUAUUUGCCCCAGCCAUAGGUAAAAGGAACAGAUCAAGGAUUAUUAUGACUCCUUGUAUUUUUAUUUUCACACUCCUACAGACUUUAUCACAAACUAGCUUUUCUCCACUUCCUGUGGACACCCUGAAUGAAUUUAUAGCACAGAUAUCUAACUGCAAAUUUUUAGCCACAUCCUCCUGCAUAAAAUUGUGGGUAGAUCCAGUGUCAAUAAGCACACUGACACUCUGACUUUUGAUAAACCCCUCUAAUCUGAUAGUUCUAAUACCAAUCUUCCCUUGUAGAGCUUGAAGACUAAUUUCAGAUUCUUCCUCGAUUUCCAGAAUUUUAAUCUCACCGUCAUCUUCUAUUUCUUCCUCAUUGGGCAAUUCCCAGAAUGUAUUAUCCUCAGCUGAAAAUCUGUAUAGUCUGCCUUUGCACUUGUGCCCUGGAUUAAAUUUUUCAUCGCAAUUAAAACAAAGACCCUUGGAGGUUCUUUCUUUUCUUUCUGCAUAUGUCAGCCUUUUAAAAUUUGGUGUAACUGUAUUUCCAGAUUUGAUGUUAUUUGUGGAGUUUGAAAUGUUUGAUGUGAUUGUGCUGCCCAGAGAGUUGUUUCCAGCAUUUAAAGUAUUGUCACCACCUGUUUUUGUGAAAUAAGAUCUGUUCUGAUAUGGUUUAUAUCCUGCUUUAGAACUUGAAGCCCCCGUUCCUUGUUUUUCUAAGUGAACAGCCAAUUCCAUGGCUUCUUGUAGAUCCUCUAGCUUGGCUCUGACCACUUCCGUUUGAAUUUCAUCCUUCAAACCUGAUUCGAACAUUUCAAGUAAUAGCCAAUCUGGAAUUCCCACCACUUUAGAAGAAUAAUCUUCAAACCUUUCUACAAAAUCAGCCACUGUAGUAGUUUGAACUAGUUUGCUUAAUCUCCCACCUGGAAUAGUAUAAGUUGUAGGAUUAAAUUUUUUUAACAAAGAUCUCACGAAUGCAGGCCAUGUUGACAAGUAAUUGCUAGAUUCCAUCCACAAGAACCAUUUUAGAGCCACACCCUGCAUAUUGAAUGAAGCUAUAAUUAAUUUCUGAUCUUCUGGUGUGUUAUGGAAAAUAAAGAAUCUCCUAGCCAUGAAUAUCCAUAGCUCUGGUUCGUUGCCGUCGAAUCGGGGCAUAUCAAAUUUGAUGUGUUUAGGUGGGAUGUAGUCGGCAUUUCCAUACAUACUAACUGCAUAAGAUGGCCUUUCUGGAUCAAUAAUAGCAUCCUGUUUUGAUUUGCUUGAAUCACCCGUUCUGAAAUCAUUGUUAAUUAUUUCAGAAUCACCGAUCUCUAUUUUUUUGCCAAUAAUUACCUCCAGUUGUUUUCCCAGUUGCAUAGAAUUGUGAUUUAUAAGGUUUCGAAGUUCCGUCAUCUCUCUAGUUUGAGAUAGUUGAAAUUCUUGCAGUCUCUUCAUAUUUGCCUCAAUCUCUUCCAUUGGGGCAGGUCUUGCCAUCUAGAAAUUCCUGAAAUUUAGAGUACAAAAAUAGAUGAAAGCACCAGUUGAUACAAGCUAGGAGUAUCAAGGAAUUAUUCCAAUCUCCGUUAUGGAAUAAAUGGACCUGUGGCGCUCUAGUGUCUCCGAUCUAAGAUCGGAAUACGAUCUAGACGUUUGAGACGAGAGCAAAGCGAUCAAAGAAUCGCGAAGAAGAGCACGCGGACAGGGUCGGCCCGGACAGGAGCUUGCGGCGAUGUGAUCCGGGGAGAGAAUGUGCGAGAUGCUACAGGGCGGACAGAAUCGAGAAGGAGGGAGGCGUGGACCGAUUCAGGAAGGUAGACGACCGGACAAGGACCGGAGAUCGGCGAGCGAUGAUCUGGACGGAGAUGGGCAACCGACGGCGGUUACUUGGAGGAUGGGUGAACGUCGGGUGUUGGGGGUGGAAGAGAUGGAUUAGGGAAA